rnacentral:snRNA from 1 species
GGAUGUGAGGGCGAUCAGGCUGUGACAUCUGUCACCCCAUUGAUGGCCAGAGUUGAUUUGGCUGAUCUGGCCGGCUAGGCAGGUGUCCCCUUCCUCCUCCACCGCUCCAUGUGCAUUCCUCCAGGCUGUGUGCUUGGUGGAAGAGGAAGAGGACUGCCUUCAGCUUUGCUUCCUGCUAGAACCUCCAAACAAGCGCUCAAGGUCCAUUUGUAGGAGAAUGUAGGGUAGUCAGUCUUCCAAGACUCCAGAUACGUCCAAAUGAGGCACUGUGUGUGUCAGUCUACCUUUCAAA